AAGUCGUAACAAGGUUUCCGCAGGUGAACCUGCGGAAGGAUCAUUACCUUUUCUGGCUAUUUAAUAGCUUGUCGGGGGGGCUAUAGUCUCUAUAGCCUCUGACUGAAUCUGUGGUUUUUUACGUACUACUAUGUUUCCGUCGGGCGGCUUGCUCGCCGGUUGGACAACCUAAAACUCUUUGCAAUUGCAAUCAGCGUCUGAAUUAUUUAAUAAUUACAAC
rnacentral:misc_RNA from 1 species